rfam:Columba livia unplaced genomic scaffold scaffold975, whole genome shotgun sequence.
AUAUACAGCCAUACCACCCUGAGAACAGCUGAUCUCAUCUGAUGUGGGAAGCUAAGCAGGGUCGGGCCCGGUCAGUACUUGGAUGGGAGACCAGGUGGGAACAGCGGGUGCUGUGGGCU